rnacentral:rRNA from 1 species
ACUGCAGUCGUAACGGGGUAACGCGAGCUUGCUCCCUGAUGUUAGCGGCGGACGGGUGAGUAACACGUGGGUAACCUGCCUGUAAGACUGGGAUAACUCCGGGAAACCGGGGCUAAUACCGGAUGGUUGUUUGAACCGCAUGGUUCAAACAUAAAAGGUGGCUUCGGCUACCACUUACAGAUGGACCCGCGGCGCAUUAGCUAGUUGGUGAGGUAAUGGCUCACCAAGGCAACGAUGCGUAGCCGACCUGAGAGGGUGAUCGGCCACACUGGGACUGAGACACGGCCCAGACUCCUACGGGAGGCAGCAGUAGGGAAUCUUCCGCAAUGGACGAAAGUCUGACGGAGCAACGCCGCGUGAGUGAUGAAGGUUUUCGGAUCGUAAAGCUCUGUUGUUAGGGAAGAACAAGUACCGUUCGAAUAGGGCGGUACCUUGACGGUACCUAACCAGAAAGCCACGGCUAACUACGUGCCAGCAGCCGCGGUAAUACGUAGGUGGCAAGCGUUGUCCGGAAUUAUUGGGCGUAAAGGGCUCGCAGGCGGUUUCUUAAGUCUGAUGUGAAAGCCCCCGGCUCAACCGGGGAGGGUCAUUGGAAACUGGGGAACUUGAGUGCAGAAGAGGAGAGUGGAAUUCCACGUGUAGCGGUGAAAUGCGUAGAGAUGUGGAGGAACACCAGUGGCGAAGGCGACUCUCUGGUCUGUAACUGACGCUGAGGAGCGAAAGCGUGGG